UAUGAAAAAAAUCCUUACAAACAAAGACUAUUCAUAUUCAUAUUAGAAAGGAGAAAGCUUAUAUUACCAUGGAGAGAAGCAAGGUGAUUGGGAUUACGCUUGUGAUGGUUAUCCUUCUGUGCUUCAUAAUAUUUUCUCAGGCUCAAGCAACUGAUCAGGUGGAUAGCGGCAAGAUCGAGUUAUGCAUAUGCCCACAGAAAGAUCCACCAUGCCCCAAUGGUUUGUGCUUCUGUUGUGCACUGGAGCAAGAACGUUGCUUUAGGACUAGGAAAGAAUGCAUUUGUGAACCUGGUUGCCAUCAGCCUCCUUCAGAUGCAACCAACCCCCGUCCCCUCUCUUUGCCUUAAACACUGUUUCAGAUUGUUGCAAUGAAAAGUAUUGUCUUGAAUGUCUUGGAGUAAAAGAAAUAUGUUGUAAUCA